rnacentral:rRNA from 1 species
GAUGAACGCUGGCGGCGUGCCUAAUACAUGCAAGUCGAGCGAAUCGUGGACGCGUGAGUAACACUUCGAUCACCUCCUAUAUGACUGGGAUAACUUCGCGAAACCUGUGCUAAACCUGAUACUUAUACAUGGAUCCUCUCUGCAUUAGCUAGUUGGUAAGGUAACGGCUUACCAAGGCAACGAUGCAUAGCCGACCUGAGAGGGUUAUCGUCCACACUGGAACUGUGACACGGUCCAGACUCCGUCGGGAGGCAGCAGUAGGGAAUCUUCCGCAAUGGGCGAAAGACUGACGGAGCAACGCCGCGUGAGUGAUGAAGGUCUUCGGAUCGUAAAACUAUGUUAUUAGGGAAGCGGUAGAGAAAGAGAAAGCCACGGCUAACUACGUGCCAGCAGCCGCGGUAAUAG